AGGUUAUUAGUUUAAUAAAAACAUUUGAAUUCGGCUUAAAAAAUUGUGGUUAAACUCCAUAAUAACCCU
ensembl:Mt_tRNA